rnacentral:misc_RNA from 1 species
GUCAAACUCAAGAUAUUUAAUAAGAAAAAAAAAUGAUCCAAAAAACUGAUUUUGUGUUUUGAAGUUGUUCAUGAAGUAGUUGAUCGUUAAUGCAUGUCACUGUGCUCAUAAAUUUUGAAAAUCCUUUUAGUUGGUAAAUGUAUAGUUAAUAUAUCAUUAUAGUUUUUCUAUUUAGUAGCAAAAUGUUUGAAUUAUUUGGAGGAACUUGGGCACAAGGCUCGGCAUGACGCUAUAAUAUUAAUAGGUACCUGCCUAUGCAUUGACUUUGAGCAGUUCUUCCUUUUUCUUACCAUUACUUGAUGAUUGGAAUCAACAAUAUUCCUCUCCAUCAAUUCCUAAGAUGUUCAAUAUUGUAAAUUGUCCAAGUCUUUUAGAUACUUUGCAAUCGGGAGCUGUCAUGUGCAUGUGUAUGGAGGAGGCAUGCCUUUUAUGGUUUUAAGUCUAAAUUUUUCCUUAUCAAUAUGCUCUAGGUGAAUUGCAUAUCUGACAGCUAUACAUUCAAAUUACGCAUAGCUCAAUAGCUGCCUUGCUGUUUAUCAGAGGCCUAAGGAAAUUGUACCUUGCUGCCGUGCAGG